rnacentral:rRNA from 1 species
UACGUAGGGAGCAAGCGUUGUCCGGAAUCAUUGGGCGUAAAGCGCGCGUAGGUGGCCCCGUAAGUCCGCUGUGAAAGUCCAAGGCUCAACCUCUGAAAGCCGGUGGAUACUGUGGGACUAGAGUACGGAAGAGGCGAGUGGAAUUCCUGGUGUAGCGGUGGAAUGCGCAGAUAUCAGGAGGAACACCAAUAGCGAAGGCAGCUCGCUGGGACGUUACUGACACUGAGGCGCGAAAGCGUGGGGAGCGAACAGG